GACGGAGGAUGCAAGUGUUAUCCGGAAUCACUGGGCGUAAAGCGUCCGCAGGUGGCUGUUCAAGUCUGCUGUCAAAGCGCAGAGCUUAACUCUGUACAGGCGGUGGAAACUGAAGAGCUAGAGUAUGGUAGGGGUAGAGGGAAUUCCCGGUGUAGCGGUGAAAUGCGUAGAUAUCGGGAAGAACACCAGUGGCGAAAGCGCUCUACUGGGCCAUAACUGACACUGAGGGACGAAAGCUAGGGGAGCGAAAGGG
rnacentral:rRNA from 1 species